rnacentral:piRNA from 1 species
UUGAUGAGCCCUAGGAGGAAGACUGC